rnacentral:rRNA from 1 species
GACGAACGCUGGCGGCGUGCUUAACACAUGCAAGUCGAACGGAAAGGCCUGCUUUCCCUUGUGGAUUGCGGGUACUCGAGUGGCGAACGGGUGAGUAACACGUGAGUGAUCUGCCCCCAACUUGGGUAUAAGCCUGGGAAACUGGGUCUAAUUCCCGAUAGGACUGCAGGGUGGUGCCUGUGGUGGAAAACGAUUUUCUAGUGGUUGGGGAUGAGCUCGCGGCCUAUCAGCUUGUUGGUGGGGUAAUGGCCUACCAAGGCGGCGACGGGUAGCCGGCCGGGGAGGGGGGACGGUCACAGUGGGACUGAGAUACGGCCCAGACGCCUACGGGAGGCAGCAGUGGGGAAGAUUGCACGAUGGGCGGAAGCCUGAUGCAGCGACGCCGCGUGGGGGAUGACGGCCGUCGGGUUGUAAACUCCUGGCGACCGCGAGGAAGCCACCUGGUUGGAAGGGUGGUGACGGUAGUGGUAGAAGAAGCACCGGCUAACUACGUG